CCCGUGAAAAACACCAAAUAAUAACAAUAGUACAAGAGAUUGUUGUCCACCAAAGCCGUUAGAUGGACAGUUGACCCCGUGAAAAACACCAAAUAAUAACAACAGUACAAGAAUCUGUCAAAUUUUUUCACAACAAACCAAUUCCAUGUGUUAUGUCUUGAAUUUUUUCAAGCAACCACAAUUAUUAAUAAAUAAAUAAAUAAACAAUUAAUUAAUUUGUACAUGAAAUAUAUUACAAAAUACAUACUUUUGUAUAUACCUACAACAUGUUAUUAUGUAUAAAUAAAUAAAAUAAAUUUUUAUCUACAUGUACAGAGCCAAGCAGAACCAAGUAUCCAGCUGCUUAAUAAAUUUUAUGUGCAGAUUAUCAAUAACAAAUGUUUGUCGUUACCAAAAAAAUUAAUAGCCAAAAUAUUAAGAAAUUAUAUUAUUAUAUUAUAAUUAUAUGUGCUUGUUGGUCCAGCACAGUCUAGUAGUACAGUCCAGCUCAUCCUCAUCUCUUGCUGCUAAUUACUAAAUUGACAACUUUAUCAUGCUUGGAGAUUUAGCAAGGUAAUAAAUUACAAUAAUUAAUUGAGCUGGUGACAGAGCACUAAGACAAGCUACAUCAUAGAAAGGAUAUAAUGAUAAACAAGAAAGUCAAAAAUUUAAU